GAAUUGCCUCACGCCAGUGGGGUAGAGCAGCUGGAAUGGGGGCCAGCUGCUCAACAAAAAAAGCGACC
rnacentral:ncRNA from 1 species